ensembl:lncRNA
CGAACGUCGGUCGGCGUCGCCCCGGCGUGCGACUGGCUUCCCUCGUGCACGGCGCCAUUUGUUAUGACUUCUGGUUCCUCGGAGAAGCAAACAGCCGAACUCGAUCCGCCGCGGAGAAUCAACAAGGCGGGCGGAAAAAAGGUAGCCGCGUGCUCAGCGGAGUGUGAGCCGCUACACCUGUCCUCCCCUCGGGGAGGCGCGACGCAUUUGCCAGCUGGCGCGGCGCGGCCGGCGACAAAAGGAGCCGGACAGAUUGGGCGAGCGGCGGGACGUCGGGGACGAGCAGAAGAAGACGCGGC